UGGGCUUGAAAGGCCAGCGCCCCUUGCGGGGAGGGCGACUUUCAUCGCCUGUCGCUGGCCUUUCAAGCCCAGGUAAGGUUCUUCGCGUUGCAUCGAAUUGAACCACAUGCUCCACUGCUUGUGCGGGCCCCCGUCAAUUCCUUUGAGUUUCAACCUUGCGAUCGUACUCCCCAGGUGGGGUACUUAAUGCGUUAGCUUUGGCGCUGAGCCUUGCGACCCAACACCGAGUACCCAUCGUUUAAGGCGUGGACUAC
rnacentral:misc_RNA from 1 species